UACGUAGGGGGCUAGCGUUGUCCGGAUUUAUUGGGCGUAAAGAGCGUGUAGGCGGCCAGGUAGGUCUGCUGUGAAAACUCGAGGCUCAACCUCGAGACGUCGGCGGAAACCAUCUGGCUAGAGUCCGGAAGAGGAGAGUGGAAUUCCUGGUGUAGCGGUGAAAUGCGCAGAUAUCAGGAGGAACACCGGUGGCGAAAGCGGCCACCUGGACUGCACCUGACGCUGACACGCGAAAGCUAGGGGAGCGAACGGG
rnacentral:rRNA from 1 species